UACGAAGGGGGCUAGCGUUGCUCGGAAUUACUGGGCGUAAAGCGUGCGCAGGCGGUUGUGCAAGACCGAUGUGAAAUCCCCGGGCUCAACCUGGGAACUGCAUUUGUGACUGCAUGGCUAGAGUACGGUAGAGGGGGAUGGAAUUCCGCGUGUAGCAGUGAAAUGCGUAGAUAUGCGGAGGAACACCGAUGGCGAAGGCAAUCCCCUGGACCUGUACUGACGCUCAUGCACGAAAGCGUGGGGAGCAAACAGG
rnacentral:rRNA from 1 species